AUUGAACGCUGGCGGCAGGCCUAACACAUGCAAGUCGAGCGGAGUGGCGGACGGGUGAGAAAUGCCUAGGACUCUGCAUGGUAGUGGGGGAUAACGUCCGGAAACGGGCGCUAAUACCGCAUACUAUCAGACGAGCCUAGGUCUGUUUAGCUAGUUGGUGGGUUAAAGGCAUACCAAGGCGACGAUCCGUAACCGGUCUGAGAGGAUGAUCAGUCACACUGGAACUGAGACGCGGUCCAGAAUCCUAAGGGAGGCAGCAGUGGGGAAUAUGGGACAAUUGGCGAAAGCCUGAUCCAGCCAUGCCGCGUGUGUGAAGAAGGUCUUCGGAUUGUAAAGCACUUUAAGUUUGGAGGCGUUACCAACAGAAUAAGCACCGGCUAACUUCGUGCCAGCAGCCGCGGUAAUUC
rnacentral:rRNA from 1 species